rnacentral:lncRNA from 1 species
GGUUGUAUUCACCUUUUAGUCAAUAAUCAGGUCUCCAUAAAGGGCAAUGACAGAUUGUUAGUCAGUACUUACAGAACAGCAACUGCUUGGCUAUGGAGUGGAAGGAAGAGGGACAAGAAGGCACUGCAACUGCACAGAAAUCUUCUGUGCCAGCCACACUAGCAGUCAGCAUAUCUCAGAAAUCAUAAGAACCCACAGUCUGUCCGUCUGUCUGUCUCUCCCUCUGAACUGGAUGGUGUCUAAACAAUGCCCAAGCUAAGAUAGUCUGUUGCCAAUAAGUCCCUGAUAGAUCAUAUUAGUGAGACAAAGUGCCACGUGAGUGGUUGCUUAAUUAGCCAGGCAAAAGAAAUAGAUUCACAGCCACAUGCCUGGAAAAGCAACGCUUGCUUACUUUGACAAAAAUACGGCAGCAAGGUAAACACCAGGGAGAGAAAACUAACAUGCCUUAAGAAUAAUAUUGGCACAACAAAUACCAAUAAGCAGAUUUGGAAAGAAGAAUGAAGCGAAAGAUGAGACAAGCUUUCCAAUAACCUUCAAAUAAAGAAGUAUCCCUAUUCCAGAAGCUCUACUCCUCUCAAGGUGAAGCUUGCUUUAUUUAUAUGUGGGAUUAUAUGAAGCCUGUGACAAUGGCAAAUCGGACAAGAUGCUGGACUAGAAGACCUUUGACUCAAGAAAGGCAUGAGGCUCAGAAUUUUUCUGGUUAGCUUUGCUGGUCAUACUUUUAUGUUUCCAGUCUUGUACAGCAUCAUCAAAGUCACUAUCAGCAUAGAACAUGGUCGGGUUGUUCCUCUUUUGCACAGGUUAAGGUCAGUGAUGUUUUUCACUCUUCACAGAUCUUCUGGGGGAACCUGUAAUGAAAUAACUCAAAAUUUGGGCAUAUAUCUUUAGGUUUGGGACUGCAGUUGCUAUGGCCUUACUUUACACCAAUAGUGUAACACUUAAAAUUAUUUCAUUUUUUAGCUUUUUUCUGAAGAGACUGAUCUUCCAAAACCAUAUGAAUACAACAGGAGUCUGUGACAGAUGUGUUUUGUGACUAUGUAGAAGUUUAGAGCAGUGAAUUCUGACUCUUGUGCGAAGAGACAGUGAAGGAGGCAGCUCUGUGACUGAGAGUUGAGAGUGAUUACACUGUUAGUAUAAUUUUGAAAAUGCUACAUGGAAACUUCAGAAUUUUUUGGCAAAGAACACUUGCUAUGACUGCUGGACCACCUUAAAUAAAUAUCUCUCUUUCUUAACA